AGGCAGCUGGGGAGGCUGUAGGACACUAAAUAAAUGUUUACUGGAAAGAAAACACACACACAAGUUGCUUACAAUGGUGACUUGAGCUUAAAGGUCCAUAUCUGCAGAAAUUCCACAGAAAUUUGAAGGUGCCCUCGGAAUGAGGCAGAAAAAGCCUCUUUUGCAGAGGAAGAAAACCUUCAAGAGUUUGGAGGACGGAUUUCAGCGCAGCACUUUGAACUUUGCACAAAGGGCUCCAGCGUGAAGUCAGCCUGUGUCACCAUGAAACAAGCGCUGGGACUUUGCCUGUUGCCCACAAAGCUACCAGACAGAGCCAGCACUUGUGAUGAAAUCUUCAAAUGGAAUGGCUAUCAUGUGACAAUUGAACAGGAAGUAUGAGAAGCCUCUCAAAAUCAGCUAAAUCCAAGCACUUCAGUUUAAGAGAUUGAUGGAUUCGAAACUGGACUCGGAAAGCCACCUGUCAUGAUUCUGGGACACAGAGGACUCUGAGGAGGAGGAGGAAGCUUGGGCCACUUCCUUGGGUGAAAAGCUGUUAGUACCAAAUCUGGGACCCUUCCAGCCAGAAGGCAAAGCCCUACCACCAACUUCAGACUUAGAGGAUGAGUCCCCUAUAGUACCUCCAUCUUCCCAGCCUCACAGAGGUCAAAGACUGCAAAAUCAGGCAACAGCCCAUUAACAACCCGGCUAAAGAAGUGGAGCCAACUAUGUUGCGGGUUUUGUCAGCCUACAUAAAUCUUCAGUUUGCUUCCACUCCCUGCUGGGACAUCUUCCUUCAGCUACAUUAGCAGGAUUGGAAUGUUUUUUAUGCAAGCAGAACUGGAGGACUGCUUUGUGGGUGGAGGCUGUCCUUCAUGAUGAAGACUGGAUACUACAGUUACUUCUUUGUGGAAUUAUAAGGUGCUUUGCAAAAUCAAAAGAAGUGUGCAAUCUGACUGGAGGCUGUGUCCCACUCUGCAAGCAAGCAUGGCAGAUGGAGCGUUGGAUGGAGGACAAAUCAGUUCAGAUGUCUGGCAAGAACAGUCAUUCCCACACUACCUCUUCCUGUGCUGGCAGCACACUGCGUAGGGAUAAGGGGGUGUCAGAGAGAAAAGGGAGUGGAAGAAACAGAGAGAGAAAAGGGGUGGCCCCAUCUAUUUUCAGGUCUGGCCCUGCCUACAGCUGGCUUCAAUCCAUGACUGGCUCUGGCCGUGACUGGCUGUGGCCCUACUCACCACCAGCUUGCAGCCCACAGAAGAUUACUGUUGAAGGAAUGCAGCCUUUGAAGAAAAAUGGUCCUGCCCACUCCAUCCCUGCUUGGGGCUCUAGAUAGCACCCAGGUCCCCAAAGAACCAUAGGAAUUAAAUUCCCAUGGCUCCCAUCACUUGUGGGUGCUUCUCCACGAUUGUGGCAGCAACCAGAGAUGCUGAAUAUCUUCAGAGCUACAUUUGUGAUUGCACCUUGGGGCAUUUUGGAGACCUUGCCAUGAUGCCCUGCAUGAGUUUUUCUAGCCUCUAUCAUGUCCAAUUGAGGAAGGCGCCAGGGAAUCCUGACUCCAUGGUAGGGAGAUUUCCAUGGCAUUUGGGCCUCAGUAUGGACAUCAUCCAGCAAAAUAAAGUGGGUUCUUCAAAUUAUUUCUGCUAUACACUGGUGUGGAUAUGUGUAUGUGUGUGUACUACCCAUCCUCAAGAGACCAUUCACACAUGCAAGUUACUGCUUCCAUCACCAAGGGAUGGGCAUGCAUGGUGUAGUGGUAAGAAUGUUGGACUAGGGCCUGGGAGACCAGGGUUCAAAUCCCCACUGAGCCACAAAGCUUGCUGGGUGACCUUGGGCCAUUUGCAGGCUCUCAGCCUAACCUACCUCACAGGGUUGUUGUAAAGAUAAAAUGGAGAGGGAGAACAAUGUGCUCCACCUUGAGCUCCUUGGAGGAAAGGUGGGAUGAUAGGCAUGCAUACAAGAGCCCGUCCCAAUCUUAGUCUCAUCCUGCCUAUGGGAGGGAAUUUUCCACUGCCUUUACUGAGUACAGACAUACUUCCUCCAAUUUCCUUGA